rnacentral:rRNA from 1 species
CAGUCGCCACGGGAAAACGGAGGGAGCUAGCGUUGUUCGGAAUUACUGGGCGUAAAGCGCGCGUAGGCGGUUACUCAAGUCAGAGGUGAAAGCCCGGGGCUCAACCCCGGAACUGCCUUUGAAACUAGGUGACUAGAAUCUUGGAGAGGUCAGUGGAAUUCCGAGUGUAGAGGUGAAAUUCGUAGAUAUUCGGAAGAACACCAGUGGCGAAGGCGACUGACUGGACAAGUAUUGACGCUGAGGUGCGAAAGCGUGGGGAGCAAACAGGAUUAGAUACCCGCGUAGUCCCUGUCUCUUAUAC